rnacentral:rRNA from 1 species
AGAGUUUGAUCAUGGCUCAGGACGAACGCUGGCGGCGUGCUUAAUACAUGCAAGUCGAGCGAGGUUACUGUUUCGGAUCCCUUUCGGGGUGAAGAAGCUUUAACCUAGCGGCGGACGGGUGAGUAACGCGUGGGUAACCUACCCCAAAGUCCGGGAUAACAGCGGGAAACCGCUGCUAAUACCGGAUGCCUUUACCUUGGGGCAUCUUGAGGUAAAGAAAGGUAACGCUUUGGGAUGGGCCCGCGUCCCAUUAGCUAGUUGGUGAGGUAACGGCUCACCAAGGCGACGAUGGGUAGCCGGCCUGAGAGGGUGGACGGCCACACUGGGACUGAGACACGGCCCAGACUCCUACGGGAGGCAGCAGUAGGGAAUAUUGCGCAAUGGACGGAAGUCUGACGCAGCGACGCCGCGUGAGCGAUGAAGGUCUUCGGAUCGUAAAGCUCUGUCCUUGGGGAAGAAGGGAGCCGUAAGGCUUCUUGACGGUACCCAUGGAGGAAGCCCCGGCUAACUACGUGCCAGCAGCCGCGGUAAUACGUAGGGGGCAAGCGUUGUCCGGAAUUAUUGGGCGUAAAGGGUGCGUAGGCGGCCCUUUAAGUCAGAUGUGAAAGCCCACGGCUUAACCGUGGGACUGCAUUUGAAACUGGAGGGCUUGAGUGUCGGAGAGGGCAGUGGAAUUCCCAGUGUAGCGGUGGAAUGCGUAGAUAUUGGGAGGAACACCAGUGGCGAAGGCGACUGCCUGGACGAUAACUGACGCUGAGGCACGAAAGCUAGGGGAGCAAACAGGAUUAGAUACCCUGGUAGUCCUAGCCGUAAACGAUGGGUACUAGGUGUAGGAGGUUUCGAUACCUUCUGUGCCGCAGUUAACGCAAUAAGUACCCCGCCUGGGGAGUACGUGCGCAAGCAUGAAACUCAAAUGAAUUGACGG